rnacentral:sRNA from 1 species
AAGCGGGAAGUGGUGCGCCUUCCUUCAGCCGGGGCUUUAAGCCCUCAGCUUGGCGCUCCUCUGUUUUUCCACCGUAGGACCUUCCUGCAGGCGGUGAGCAGUGAGAAGGUCCGCUCCACUAAUCUCAACUGCUCAGUGAUUGCGGACGUGAGGCAUGACGGCUCCGAGCCCUGCGUGGACGUGCUGUUCGGAGACGGGCAUCGCCUGAUUAUGCGCGGCGCUCAUCUCACCGCUCUGGAAAUGCUCACCGCCUUCGCCUCCCACAUCCGGGCCAGGGACGCGGCGGGCAGCGGGGACAAGCCGGGUGCUGAUACUGGUCGCUGACAGCGCCAAAGAGACCAACAAGAUGAUUUUAGCGUGGACUAGGACACUUAACCUAAGAAGAGUUUCACUUAAUCAUUCAAAUCACUAUCUGGAGGGCCACGGAGCGCAAAAUAAAGUUUAAAACCCU